AAUCAACGCUGGCGGCGUGCCUCAGACAUGCAAGUUGAACGAUUAAAGCUCUCUUCGGAGAGUGCAUAAAGUGGCGCACGGGUGAGUAACACGUAAGUAAUCUACCCUCGAGUGGGGAAUAACGUCCGGAAACGGACGCUAAUACCGCAUAGCGCAGCGGCACCGCAAGGUGACAGUUGUUAAAGGAGAAAUUCGCUUGAGGAGGAGCUUGCGGCAGAUUAGCUUGUUGGUAAGGUAACGGCUUACCAAGGCUACGAUCUGUAACCGGUCUAAGAGGACGGUCGGACACACUGACACUGAAUAACGGGUCUAGACUCCUACGGGAGGCAGCAGUCGGGAAUUUUGGGCAAUGGGGGAAACCCUGACCCAGCAACGCCGCGUGAAGGAUGAAGUAUUUCGGUAUGUAAACUUCGAAAGAAUAGGAAGAAUUAAUGACGGUACUAUUUAUAAGGUCCGGCUAACUACGUGCCAGCCGCCGCCGU
rnacentral:rRNA from 1 species